GAGUUUGAUCAUGGCUCAGGACGAACGCUGGCGGCGUGCUUAACACAUGCAAGUCGAACGGUAAGGCCCCUUUUUUGGGGUGUACGAGUGGCGAACGGGUGAGUAACACGUGAGUAACCUGCCCCAGACUUUGGGAUAACAGUUGGAAACGAUUGCUAAUACUGGAUAUGAGCUGCUGCCGCAUGGUGGUGGUUUGAAAGUUCCGGCGGUUUGGGAUGGGCUCGCGGCCUAUCAGCUUGUUGGUGAGGUGAUGGCUUACCAAGGCUUCGACGGGUAGCCGGCCUGAGAGGGCGACCGGCCACAUUGGGACUGAGAUACGGCCCAAACUCCUACGGGAGGCAGCAGUGGGGAAUAUUGCACAAUGGACGGAGGUCUGAUGCAGCAACGCCGCGUGCGGGAUGACGGCCUUCGGGUUGUAAACCGCUUUCAUCCAUGACGAAGCUUUUGUGACGGUAGUGGGUAAAGAAGCACCGGCUAACUACGUGCCAGCAGCCGCGGUGAUACGUAGGGUGCGAGCGUUGUCCGGAUUUAUUGGGCGUAAAGAGCUUGUAGGCGGUUUGUCGCGUCGGGAGUGAAAACUCGGAGCUUAACUUUGAGCUUGCUUUCGAUACGGGCUGACUUGAGGGAGGUAGGGGAGAAUGGAAUUCCUGGUGGAGCGGUGGAAUGCGCAGAUAUCAGGAGGAACACCGGUGGCGAAGGCGGUUCUCUGGACCUUUCCUGACGCUGAGAAGCGAAAGCGUGGGGAGCGAACAGGCUUAGAUACCCUGGUAGUCCACGCCGUAAACGGGUGGGUACUAGGUGUGGGGGGACAUUCCACGUUCUCCGUGCCGUAGCUACGCAUUAAGUACCCCGCCUGGGGAGUACGGCCGCAAGGCUAAAACUCAAGGGAGUUGACGGGGCCCCGCACAAGCCCCCCCCCCCCCGGAUUAAUUGGAUGAAAAGGGAAGAACAUUANAUGGGUGGGGGGUUUGCCCCCCCCCCCCCCCCCAUGGGGGUGCCUUUUUGGUCGGAAAAAAAAAGGUGCAUGGCUGUCGUCAGCUCGUGUCGUGAGAUGUUGGGUUAAGUCCCGCAACGAGCGCAACCCUCGUCCAAUGUUGCCAGCGGGUUAUGCCGGGGACUCAUUGGAGACCGCCGGGGUCAACUCGGAGGAAGGUGGGGAUGACCCCCCCCCAUCAUGCCCCUUAUGUCCAGGGCUUCCCCCCCCCCACAAUGGCCGGUACAAAGAGCUGCGAGCCUGUGAGGGUGAGCGAAUCUCGGAAAGCCGGUCUCAGUUCGGAUUGGGGUCUGCAACUCGACCCCAUGAAGUCGGAGUCAAGAGUAAUCGCAGAUCAGCAACGCUGCGGUGAAUACGUCCACGGGGCUUGCACACACCGCCCGUC
rnacentral:rRNA from 1 species